GACACGGGUAGGCCCUAGCACUAGCUGGGGCAGAUAACCGUGUAGGUGUACAAGAGCACACAUCAUCCCCCAUGCGUGGCGAUGAACCCCGCCCCAUGGGGCCUGUGGAGGUGGAGCCCCCUUCGGAGGAAGGGGGUUAACCACCUUAGCCGGGGAAACCAGGCCAGGCCCGGAAGGGAGCAACCUAACCCCGGACACAGGCGUUCAUGGGUCACCGGGGUUGAGCCUGCGUGGAGCGGCUCUGGUGUGUGCUCUUGUACACCUACACGGAGCUGUGUC
rnacentral:SRP_RNA from 1 species